UUAAUUCUACUUCGAGGAUCAGUCGUAGUCUUCCGAACUUUACCGAUGGUAUCGACGAGUUUUCUACUUCAUUCAAAUGUGUAAAAGACUUUAGUCGCACUUAAA
rnacentral:tRNA from 1 species